CUGUCUUUUAUUGCGGCACACUUAACGGUUAACGCUCUAUUAGCAUUAGCACCCCGCUCGUGCGCAAGGACUUUGUAGAGUUUCCUGUUUUAAACGAUCGACAGGCACAAGUCAACACAUGUAUAGUUUAUUAGUUGGCACCCGAAACGAAAACCUCACUUCCGGAUGUGUUCCCGUUCGUCUGUAACUUCGUCUUUAGCGUGACUAAUGCUAACUGGCUAGCCGCUAAGCUGUCUCAGAGCGGAGUUUAGCACAUGUGGUUCAACUUAAAGUUAGAUUUCAGUUACACGUGCUUUGUCAAAUCAUGCUGCCAAGCCGAAUAUUAACAAGGUCGUAGUUAUGUUCAGCUCAACAGCUGGCAGUAUGAGGGCCUGUUUUGGUGCUAAAACCCAGCAGCUGAUCAGCAGAGUCCUCCUUCAUCCUGCCGGUCCACCAGCAGCAGUGCGAUGGCGAGCUGCUCAGAUCAGACUCCUCAGCAGCAGUUCACCAGACGAGGGGAAGCACCGACCCUCCAUCCUGCGACACUUGACCUCCAAAAUAAAAGCCACAGGUCCGAUUACGGUAGCAGAGUACAUGAGGGAGGUACUCACCAACCCCGUGACGGGUUAUUAUGUGAAGAGCAACAUGCUGGGACCCGAUGGAGAUUUCAUCACGUCGCCGGAAAUCAGUCAGAUUUUCGGGGAGCUGAUCGGCGUUUGGAUCAUCAGCGAGUGGAUGGCAGCAGGUCGACCCGGACUGCUGCAGCUGGUCGAGCUCGGACCUGGAAAAGGAUCGCUGGCCAGUGACGUCCUCAGAGUGUUCAGCCAGUUGCGCUCCGUGCUCGGCGAGGCUUCGGUGUCUCUCCACCUGGUCGAGGUGAGUCCGGCGCUGAGCCGUCUCCAGGCCCACAUUCUGACCGGGGACCACAGCCAGGAGGCGGACGCAGAGGACGACCCGGUUUACCGCCGCGGGGAAGCCGCUGCGGGGCUGCCGGUGUCGUGGUACCGCCGCUUGGACGACGUCCCCACAGGAUUCACCAUCUUCGUAGCUCACGAGUUCUUCGACGCUCUGCCCGUCCACAAGUUUCAGUGGACGCAGAAAGGCUGGAGGGAGGUGAUGGUGGACAUCGACCCUGAGAAGCCGGACCAGCUGAGGUUUGUCAUGGCGCCGUCUCCCACUCUGGCCUCGUCGUCGCUCAUACAGGUAGGUGAAAGGCGGAGUCAUGUGGAGGUGUGUGCAGAGGGUGGAGUCAUCGUCCAGCACUUGGCCCGGCGGAUCACACAGGAUGGUGGUGCGGCGCUGAUUGCUGACUACGGACACGAUGGGACCAAGACGGACACGUUCAGAGGUUUUAAAGGUCACCAGCUCCACGACGUCCUGCGCUCCCCCGGCUCAGCUGACCUCACCGCCGACGUGGACUUCAGCUACCUGCGGACUAUGGCUGGCAGAGACGUGGCCUGUCUGGGGCCCGUCACUCAGAGGAGCUUCCUGAAAAACAUGGGCAUCGACGCCCGACUGCAGGUUCUGCUCAGGAACUGCAGCGACGCGUCCACCAGGAAGCAGCUGAUCAGCAGCUACGACAUGCUGACCAACCCCACCAAGAUGGGCGAGCGCUUCCACUUCUUCAGCCUGCUGCACCACAGCCGGCUGGCCAAACCCGAGAAACCAGAGAGGCUGAAGCUGGAGGUGAAGAAGAGGAGUCCGGCACCGCUGCCUGUGGCCGGAUUCAGCGAGCUCAGCUUCUCCUGAAGGCCUUAAACGCUCCGGAGACUGAACUGUUCCAGAGAGGUUCAGGAGCUCGGAUGGACGUUACAGAAGAACCGUUUUCACCACAUUCAUGCAGGAGGAUGAGGAAAAGAAGAAACCUUCCGUACUGAACCAGUGUUCAUCAUCAAUCAGCGCACGUCGGAUUGUUACCUGCAGCCACGGGUGGCUCAGCGACUUGUCCACGCUGAAGCGCUUCCUCAUCUUCACCUGCAGCAGGUUAUUAAUGAGGUCUGUGGCUGUGAGGGAGAGCAACAACAUUAGCUUCAUUCUUGGAAACGUCCCGCUCAGACUGACGUAGAUGAUGACGCCGACCGACCACAUGUCCAGAGACCGGUUGUAGCCUUUGCUGCGAAGCACCUCGGGCGCCAAAUAGGCCGGAGUGCCGACCACCGAGCGACGGAACGACUUC